rnacentral:rRNA from 1 species
GUUACAGCCGCCGCGGUAAUACGUAGGUGGCAAGCGUUGUCCGGAUUUACUGGGCGUAAAGAGCGCGCAGGCGGUCGAUUUAGUCGCGUGUGAAAGCCCCCGGCUCAACUGGGGAGGGUCACGCGAUACUGAUCGACUCGAAGGCAGGAGAGGGUAGUGGAAUUCCCGGUGUAGUGGUGAAAUGCGUAGAUAUCGGGAGGAACACCAGUGGCGAAGGCGACUACCUGGCCUGUUCUUGACGCUGAGGCGCGAAAGCUAGGGGAGCAAACGGGAUUAGAUACCCUGGUAGUCC